rnacentral:misc_RNA from 1 species
GAAAAUGGAUACCCUUCAUAAACACGGUUACAUAUGAGGAAUGUAAGAUUAAAGAUCCAAAGCAGAAAAACAAAUUUUGUUCUCCCGCAUAUCUUUACUAGGAGAAAAUUAGCUGAAGCUAUAAACAAGAUGUAUAAGACGCAAGCUCCAUGGAGAUAUGUCAAAUAAACCAAAGAAACCAUCAGCCAAACAACCGCCAUUCCCUUUGCUUUUAGACCAUAUUUUCUACAUGAGGUAGCUACUAGAGUGAAGAUA